AGUGCAGUUUGGAACCACAGCGGGAAACCCAUUUCCGGAUGAUAGCAGAACAGCAAUGAGCAGCACUAUUGGGCCUGACUGUGAAAACACCCGAAAAUACCGAGCUGUUCCAGGUUUUAUUCUGUGAUCCUCAAAGUUAUUCCAGUCCUCAGAAUACUACUUGAAGCAAUUAUUUGUAUCUCCUGCUCAGGUGAAGAGAUGCAUAGCCAGUGAAGAGACACAGUGCUACUGAACAGAAAACUAAGUGAAAAGAGCAUGCAUGUCAAGAUGCUGGGAGAGUCCCUGGUUUCUGCAAAUGAACCUUGCAUUUCAGAGUUCAAAGGACAAUAAGAAAGGCACAGUCACUCACUGCUUAAACAGUACUCAAAGUAGAGCCUGAGAACACAUGAUGAUGAUGACAGCCAUUAUAGUAAGGAGACGGAAGUUUGGAGUGGUGUGCAAAUAUAAUUGUGGUGGCCAGUCUCCCUUCCCUUUAAAGAGUUCACAGGGAGUGAACCCUUUUCUUGAAUGACAAAUUGGUGAACUCCAGAGC